UAGGCGGCAGCAGUGGGGAAUAUUGGACAAUGGGCGAAAGCCUGAUCCAGCCAUGCCGCGUGUGUGAAGAAGGCCUUCGGGUUGUAAAGCACUUUCAGUGGGGAAGAAAGCCUUGGGGCUAAUACCCUCGAGGAAGGACAUCACCCACAGAAGAAGCACCGGCUAACUCCGUGCCAGCAGCCGCGGUAAUACGGGAGGGUGCGAGCGUUAAUCGGAAUUACUGGGCGUAAAGCGCGCGUAGGCGGUCUGAUAAGCCGGUUGUGAAAGCCCCGGGCUCAACCUGGGAACGGCAUCCGGAACGGUCAGGCUAGAGUGCAGGAGAGGAAGGUAGAAUUCCCGGUGUAGCGGUGAAAUGCGUAGAGAUCGGGAGGAAUACCAGUGGCGAAGGCGGCCUUCUGGACUGACACUGACGCUGAGGUGCGAAAGCGUGGGUAGCAAACAGGAUUAGAUACCCCGGUAGUC
rnacentral:rRNA from 1 species